UGCUAAAGAGCUUUAGAAUGACUUCUAUGCACUAUAAUUUACAAGAUUGAUAGAUAAUAUUAUUUAGUGUGUGUGAAUGCAUUUAAAUUGAUAUUGUCACUAAAUUUGAAUUUAUGUAGUUUGCUAUUAGUAUUUUGUGCUAUUGGAACUUAGCCAAGUAAAAGUUAUGAGGCUCAUUUUCACUUUUUGUCUAUGUAUGCACGAUUGGGUGCUAAGAUAUGAUCAUUG
rnacentral:lncRNA from 1 species